AGAAGUAAACUUAAGGGUCACU
rnacentral:miRNA from 1 species